AUGGAAACCGUCGAGCGGCCUUAAUCCCGUUAUAUACUCCAUCCGUCUCAUAAAUAAAUACAAUUCAAAUCUGGACAUAAUGUUUUUUUGACGGAGAGUAUACAGGGACAACACAUUUUCUUUUGACUUUGGAAUUUUGGAUUUCUUUUAAAUUUUUUCUUUUUUCUUGCACCAACACGUACGUACUGUUCUUUGUCUUUGUACAGCGUAAACUCGACGGCACUGCAUUUGGUUUGGGGCUCCAACCUGACUAGUGUGGUGAAGGCGUUCACGCAACGCAGGUACUGCCUUCGACAGUUCCACACAUGAGGAUACAACAUGGUGAAAGUCAGAUUUGUUUACUGCAAACGGUGAAAAAAGGUCUUAGUGGAUGAUGCCGACCUCGCGCAGACAAUCAAUUGGCUUAAGAUUAUCUAUCGAAUAUAUCAAUUAUUCAGCGGUGUUUUUUUCUCACAAAGCUAUAACUUUUUAACCAAGCGAGAAACGUCUGGUUGGGUGCCAACAUCAGAGGGAAAGCAAAAGUCAAGUUGAAGAUCGAUCGCGCGGCCGGGCAGUCAUAUUUUAUGAUAACCACAUCUGGAGUGGGACGUCGUUGAAACCGAACCAUAACCAUCUGGACAGGGAGGAGGAUACGCAAAAUCCAUCUUCGAGUAAAAAGACAAACGUCAUGGGUG
rnacentral:lncRNA from 1 species